rnacentral:rRNA from 1 species
CUGAGAGGAUGACCAGCCACACUGGAACUGAGACACGGUCCAGACUCCUACGGGAGGCAGCAGUGGGGAAUAUUGCACAAUGGGCGCAAGCCUGAUGCAGCCAUGCCGCGUGUAUGAAGAAGGCCUUCGGGUUGUAAAGUACUUUCAGCGGGGAGGAAGGCGAUAAGGUUAAUAACCUUGUCGAUUGACGUUACCCGCAGAAGAAGCACCGGCUAACUCCGUGCCAGCAGCCGCGGUAAUACGGGGGGUGCAAGCGUUAAUCGGAAUUACUGGGCGUAAAGCGCACGCAGGCGGUCUGUCAAGUCGGAUGUGAAAUCCCCGGGCUCAACCUGGGAACUGCAUUCGAAACUGGCAGGCUGGAGUCUUGUAGAGGGGGGUAGAAUUCCAGGUGUAGCGGUGAAAUGCGUAGAGAUCUGGAGGAAUACCGGUGGCGAAGGCGGCCCCCUGGACAAAGACUGACGCUCAGGUGCGAAAGCGUGGGGAGCAAACAGGAUUAGAUACCCUGGUAGUCCACGCUGUAAACGAUGUCGACUUGGAGGUUGUUCCCUUGAGGAGUGGCUUCCGGAGCUAACGCGUUAAGUCGACCGCCUGGGGAG